ACAGCCUCUGCUUGACUUGUGGGUUCUUUGUUUCCUUUCCCACCUGUCGUGUGUUUGACCUGACUGGACCGAGCUCUCGAGGAUCCCUGGAAGCUGAGCUAAGUGCUUUGUCUGGUCAAGCUUUUCUCAUUGUGUUUGUAGCUGCUGUGUGUCGGAGUGAAGCUGAACAAAGUUGGUUCAUGUUCCUCAAACUUUCCUGCUGAAAUGUCUGUUAAACUGACCUCGACUGACUGACUGACUGAAAUUACUCAUCAUAACCUCAGUUGACUCGCAACACUCAGCGCGAACGUCAAACCGUUACCUACGCAAGCGAAGUAUCAAAUGAAGCUUCAUUUGUUGUUAGUCACGUGAUUUCUUCCGCUUCGUCUCGUGCUGUGAAACCGUGCUGCGUUUGGGUGUCACUGGUGUUGAUUCUUCUUCAUCCUGUUUGUGUAUCUGCUGGAAGAUGUUGGCUAGUCUCACUCUACUCCACAGCUGCCAGUCUGCUUCCUGAGAGACCAACUGGACCAACUCUCCCCUGCCUUUGGACCACCAGGCUCUGACGGUCACGCCGGACAGCUCACCUCACGCUGGCUUUAUCUCUAGAAUUCCUCACUGAUUCUUCCUGUGAAGCUAAUCUGUGCUGCUCUCUUGCAACCUCUAGAUCCUUCAGUAAAACCUCCUGCAUCCACUGAAGGUUCUUCUCUCCAACAUCCCAGGAAUCAAUGCUCCACUUGUUCUCCUCGGUGACUAACACAGCUGCACCGAUGAAGUGAAGGUCAUCCUCCACAGCUCUCAGCUGAGAUCUGGAUCAUCUGUUGCACCAGGCUCAAGAGCACGCUGGAAGAACCAAACACUGAUGCAAUUCAGGAUCCACUGUGGUUUGAUCCUUCACACUCUACAUACCAGUGUCGAAGCAGCAGACUGGUCUCUCCCUCUUCUGUCACUGCAGAUGCCCAGGUCAAAGUUCAGCUGACCAAACUCGUGAUGCUGGUGAGCAUCAUGCACCAUCUUCAGUCACCU